rnacentral:rRNA from 1 species
GACGAACGCUGGCGGCGUGCUUAACACAUGCCAGUCGAACGGUAAGGCCCCUUCGGGGGUACACGAGUGGCGAACGGGUGAGUAACACGUGAGCAACCUGCCCUUGACUCUGGAAUAACAGUUGGAAACAGCUGCUAAUACUGGAUAUUCAUCGUCUCCUUCCUGGGGGGUGGUGGAAAGCUCCGGCGGUCAGGGAUGGGCUCGCGGCCUAUCAGCUUGUUGGUGAGGUAAUGGCUCACCAAGGCUUCGACGGGUAGCCGGCCUGAGAGGGCGACCGGCCACACUGGGACUGAGAUACGGCCCAGACUCCUACGGGAGGCAGCAGUGGGGAAUAUUGCACAAUGGGCGCAAGCCUGAUGCAGCAACGCCGCGUGCGGGAUGACGGCCUUCGGGUUGUAAACCGCUUUCAGUAGGGACGAAGGGUGACUGACGGUACCUACAGAGGAAGGACCGGCUAACUACGUG